GGGCUUUGGGUUUGGUUGGGCCCUGUGGCUCUGCCUCCUCGGCCCUUUUAUAUACCCGCGCCGCCGGCCGCUCCCGUUUCGUUCGAGGAGAAGGGAUGGGAACUUGGCGGCAGAGUUUGAGUUUGUGUCGAGCACUAGAGUUGGAUGCUUUGUUUGUGGUUUAUUAUUACUACCAAGGUCGCAUACAGCUCCACGGGGUACUCACACUUUUCUUUUUUGUGUGUGUGAGAGAGAGGAGGUACUACAAGACAUUGGGCCGGCGUAUACAGCUCCACCGGGGUACACGCCGCAUACAGCUCCACCGUGCGUAUACAGCUCACCGUGUUUGCACAGAACAUUGGGCGAGACAAGGUUCCCAAUGCAAACCACUCAAACUGUCGGAAGCGAACAACAAUACCAAACUACUGAACAAUCAUGUAAAGCUGAAAUAAAUUUGUAGACAUUUUGAAGAGAAGUGUGUACAAAAGGUUCGAUGGAGUGGGACCAAUUUGAAACAAGCUGUUACAACUACAACUUAGACCGAGCUUACAGCCAACUAUACCGAAAAAUGUCCUCUGCUGAAAAA